rnacentral:rRNA from 1 species
GAUGAACGCUGGCGGCGUGCCUAAUACAUGCAAGUCGAGCGAACGGACGAGACGUUUGCUUUUCUGAUGUUAGCGGCGGACGGGUGAGUAACACGUGGAUAACCUACCUAUAAGACUGGGAUAACUACGGGAAACCGGAGCUAAUACCGGAUAAUAUUGUGAAACGCAGGGUUCAAAAGAGAAAGACGGUCUUGCUGUCACUAAUAGAUGGAUCCGCGCUGCAUUAGCUAGUUGGUAAGGUAACGGCUUACCAAGGCAACGAUGCAUAGCCGACCUGAGAGGGUGAUCGGCCACACUGGAACUGAGACACGGUCCAGACUCCUACGGGAGGCAGCAGUAGGGAAUCUUCCGCAAUGGGCGAAAGCCUGACGGAGCAACGCCGCGUGAGUGAUGAAGGUCUUCGGAUCGUAAAGCUCUGUUAUUAGGGAAGAACAUAUGUGUAAGUAACUGUGCACAUCUUGACGGUACCUAAUCAGAAAGCCACGGCUAACUACGUG